GACAGAGGCCCCGAGCGUUAGGCGGAAUCACUGGGCUUAAAGCGUGUGUAGGCGGGCCCGUAAGUACCUUGUGAAAUCCCACGGCUCAACCGUGGAACGGCUGGGUAUACUGCGGGUCUUGGGCCAACUAGGGGCAGCCGGAACAAGCGGUGGAGCGGUGAAAUGCGUAGAGAUCAGGAAGAACACCGGUGGCGAAGGCGCUCUGCUAGGCCGCAACUGACACUGAGGGACGAAAGCUAGGGGAGCGAAUGGG
rnacentral:rRNA from 1 species